GGCCGUUAGUUUCCUCGUUUGAAUUGUUUUACAUUGUCUUAUCGGGGCCCUUUAUAGCUGACUAUGCGGUAUGGGCUUUGCUCAUUGUUGAAGGCCGUACGGUGACCUAUAGUUGUUAAUGUUUGUUUCAUUUUGGUCUGUUUGCGGGUAGUUGUCUCAUUUGCAGUCAUACCACAUCUUCUUUUUUAUAUAAUAUAUGUAUGAAAAUACAGGCUAACUGGUCGCAGCAAUCCAUUCCAUUCUUUAAAAUAGUUUUUUUUUUUAAAAUGCACGCGUGUUUUGACAUUUAUGUUCUCCGUGACUCCUCUAAUAUGCGUUGCGGAACAUAUUUACUAUGUACCUUAUGUUCCUCUAUUGAUAAGCUUGCGAAUAAGGUAUAAGACAUAUAUGUAAUUUUAAAGCGUCACAGCAAUCCGUUCCUUUAUUUAAAAUGUCCAUUCCAUUAUUCAAAAUUGGCUAUUUCUGAAUUUUCAAUCGAAUUUUAGUAUUUAUGUUCUCCAUAACCUAUCUUACGUCAUUGUGGCACAUAUUGUUUUAUAUCUAUUUUGUUCUUCUAUCAACAAGUUUUCAGAAGGUGUAUAAAGUGUUCUGUCCGUAAGGAAUGGCGGGUCGCAGCAGUCCAUUAUUCAAAAUAAGCUAUUUUUUAAUGUUCACGCGUAUUUCGACAUUUAGGUUUUCCGUAACUCCUCUAAUAGGCGUCGUGGAACAUAUUUACUAUAUACCUUUUAUUACUCUUUUGGUGAGCUUUCGAAUGUGAUAUAAGAUAUAUCUGUAAACUAAAAAAAAACAAUG
rnacentral:lncRNA from 1 species